rnacentral:rRNA from 1 species
UACGUAGGGCGCAAGCGUUGUCCGGAAUUAUUGGGCGUAAAGAGCUCGUAGGCGGUUUGUCACGUCGGAUGUGAAAGCCCGGGGCUUAACCCCGGGUCUGCAUUCGAUACGGGCAGACUGGAGUGUGGUAGGGGAGAUCGGAAUUCCUGGUGUAGCGGUGAAAUGCGCAGAUAUCAGGAGGAACACCGGUGGCGAAGGCGGUUCUCUGGGCCUUACCUGACGCUGAGGAGCGAAAGCGUGGGGAGCGAACAGG